rnacentral:rRNA from 1 species
CACGUAGGGCGCAAGCGUUGUCCGGAAUUAUUGGGCGUAAAGAGCUCGUAGGCGGUCUGUUGCGUCCGCUGUGAAAACUCGGGGCUUAACCCCGAGCCUGCAGCGGAUACGGGCAGACUAGAGGUAGGUAGGGGAGAAUGGAAUUCCCGGUGUAGCGGUGAAAUGCGCAGAUAUCGGGAGGAACACCGGUGGCGAAGGCGGUUCUCUGGGACGGUACUGACGCUGAGACGCGAAAGCGUGGGGAGCGAACAGG